UACGUAGGGUGCGAGCGUUAAUCGGCCUUCCUGUUCUUCCCUUUUUCUCAGGUGGCCGCGCAUGUCGAGUGUGAAAUCCCCGGGCUUAACUUGGGAAUUGCGCUCGAAACUACGUGGCUCGAGUGUGGCAGAGGAAGGUGGAAUUCCACGUGUAGCGGUGAAAUGCGUAGAGAUGUGGAGGAACACCGAUGGCGAAGGCAGCCUUCUGGGCCAACACUGACGCUCAUGCACGAAAGCGUGGGGAGCAAACAGG
rnacentral:rRNA from 1 species